rnacentral:rRNA from 1 species
GAUGAACGCUGGCGGCGUGCCUAAUACAUGCAAGUCGAACGCUGGAAAUCUAGCUUGCUAGAUUGAAGGAGUGGCGAACGGGUGAGUAAUACAUAAGCAACCUACCCACGAAGACUGGGAUAAUCUCUGGAAACGGGGACUAAUACCGGAUAGGUAAUCGGAAGGCAUCUUCUGAUUAUUAAAGGUUAAAAACACUGGUGGAUGGGCUUAUGGCGCAUUAGUUAGUUGGUGAGGUAACGGCCCACCAAGACGAUGAUGCGUAGCCGGCCUGAGAGGGUGAACGGCCAAAUUAGGACUGAGACACGGCCCAGACUCCUACGGGAGGCAGCAGUAGGGAAUUUUCGGCAAUGGGGGAAACCCUGACCGAGCAACGCCGCGUGAGUGAUGACGGCAUUCGGGUUGUAAAGCUCUGUUGUAAGGGAAGAACGGUAGAUAGAGAAUAUCUAAAUGACGGUACCUUACCAGAAAGCCACGGCUAACUACGUG